CGUGUUGGGUAACAAUAGUAAUAAAAACAAAUCGGUUUGCGCGCACGAUUGUUAUACUCGAUUUGAUUGCCACGCAGAGGUUUUUCAGCUUGCGUAAUACAAGCCAGGUUUAGUUGGUCGCAAAUGGUUGUUAAAGUUGCCAAACGUGUGGCUCCCGCCCUGGAAUACGUUGUUAUCGUACAUGGUGACUAAUUGAACGGGAAUAUACGUUGGAAACAAUAGCGUUCGCAAAAUAAAAUUUAAAAAAUACAAUUAUGGACUGUUGUCUGAUUUAAAAAAAGAUACUAAUUUGACUCUAACCUUUUUAAGUUCUUUUUUUUGACGUCCGUCAACACACAACGUAGAAAUUGUAUGAACUUUCGACUUAGGACAACGCACGUCAGUGUCAAAACUCAUAGAAAGCAACACAACGGAGCCGCAACGUGUUGCGUCGUCGCAACGGAGCAAAACUAAGCAAUGAGCACCAUUUGCAAUUAAUAGAUCUACGUCCUGGCAUCCUUGACGACAUAAAGCCAAGAAGUGCUGGCUUGAUGUCGUCGACGUUAAUA